GCACACGUAGCCCAAUGGUAGAGGCGCAACGUUGAGGUCGUUGUUGUUGGAGGUUCGACUCCUCUCGUGUGUAC
rnacentral:tRNA from 3 species